rnacentral:rRNA from 1 species
GACGAACGCUGGCGGCGUGCCUAAUACAUGCAAGUCGAGCGGACCGGAUUGGGGCUUGCCUUGAUUCGGUCAGCGGCGGACGGGUGAGUAACACGUGGGCAACCUGCCCGCAAGACCGGGAUAACUCCGGGAAACCGGAGCUAAUACCGGAUAACACCGAAGACCGCAUGGUCUUCGGUUGAAAGGCGGCCUUUGGGCUGUCACUUGCGGAUGGGCCCGCGGCGCAUUAGCUAGUUGGUGAGGUAACGGCUCACCAAGGCGACGAUGCGUAGCCGGCCUGAGAGGGUGACCGGCCACGCUGGGACUGAGACACGGCCCAGACUCCUACGGGAGGCAGCAGUAGGGAAUCUUCCGCAAUGGGCGAAAGCCUGACGGAGCGACGCCGCGUGAGCGAAGAAGGCCGUCGGGUCGUAAAGCUCUGUUGUGAGGGACGAAGGAGCGUCGUUCGAAGAGGGCGGCGCGGUGACGGUACCUCACGAGAAAGCCCCGGCUAACUACGUG